rnacentral:rRNA from 1 species
UUUUUUAAUUGGAAACUGGAAUGAAUGGUUGGAACCAAUAGGAAUGUUUUAUUUUAUAAAUUUGAAUUUAAAUUAAAAAUAAAAAUGUUUUUAUAAACUCUUGGGACGAGAAGACCCUAGAAGCUUUAAAAUAAAAAAAAAUUUUUUUAAUUGGGGCAAUUUUUGAAGAGAUGUAUUUUUGAUAGUAGAGAAAGGAUUGAAAAAGUUACUCUAGGGAUAACAGCGUUAUUUAAUUGAUAAGUUCUUAUUAAUAAUUAAGUUUGCGACCUCGAUGUUGAAUUAAUAUUUAUUUUAGGUGAAGGAGCUUAAUAAGAGGGUCUGUUCGACUAUUAGUAUAUUACGUGAUCUGAGUUCAGACCGGA